rnacentral:rRNA from 1 species
AUGUCUUUUGAGUACCUUCGUUUCCUCGGCGGGUUCGCCCGCCGAUUGGACAAAACUUAAACCCUUUGUAAUUGAAAUCAGCGUCUGAAAAAAACAUAAUAGUUACAACUUUCAACAACGGAUCUCUUGGUUCUGGCAUCGAUGAAGAACGCAGCGAAAUGCGAUAAGUAGUGUGAAUUGACAGAAUUCAG